UCAUCAGCCAAUACUCUUACAAACACCUAUUGGUCUUUAACUCACUUCUAAGUCGCCUAUUUAAAUCUAAGUCUCAGUCACUCACUUCUCAGUCACCCAUUGGUAUUUAAUUGCGGCAUUCAAAUGGACAACAAGCUGCUUUUUGUUUUGUUGGGUGUCUUCAUGGUUGUCCUGAGUGUGUUUUGCGCCUGCUUUUCCAACAGUCACGAUGGAUACCACUGGGGCAGUGGUUCUGACAAAUUACUUGUGGGACUGUGGAAAAUCUGCUUUGGAAAAAAUUGUUUCAGCUAUGCCUCAGAUGACGGUGACAAAUACUGGACUGGCGAGUUUGCGACCCGGAUAAGGUCUGCGAGGACUUUUUUUAUUCUUAGCUACGGGACAGGAGUGUGUGCUGCAAUCUCCUUGGCUGGCGUUUUUUUUUGUGGGAAAUGUAUUUAACAUAAUCUCAAUGGCCACUUGCUCCACUCACGCCGUAAUUCUCACACUGGCUAACAUCUGCGCGACUUUGGCCUAUCACAGUGAAAAUAUUGACAGGGGUUCUAUGGGCUACGGUUCUAUCGUCCCCUGGCUAGGAUUUGGGCCCGCCGUGGUCGCAGCUGCACUCGCUUUCUUUAUCAAAAUGAAGUUUUAGAAGCAAAAUGGAAAGAACAACAGAGCAAUUGAUCAAGUAUUUAGACAAAAAACGGAACUUCAGUAGCUGCACCAUGCAACAUGUAUAAGCUUGAACUUUCCUGUUAAAAUAUUGAUGUUUACUUUUUGAUUUUAUAAUGAUAAUAAUAUAUUUAAA